rnacentral:rRNA from 1 species
AUGGAUUACACAAGCCAGGCAAUCAAUGAACUUAAGGAGAAGAAGCAUCAGCUUGAGGAGCAGGCAAAGAUUGAGGUUCAAAUGGAGAAGCUUAAGCUGAAGAAAGAACAGAGGUGCAUCCUGCAGAGUCAAGCUGAUAUCAUUCAAAAUACCAGGAAGGCCAUGAAGGAGAUACAAGUGGAGAGAGACCUCCUUAAAGAAGAGAAGAAGCUGGAGCAUGUCAUUUCUGAGCUACUGAAGGCUGGUCAUGGGUGCAAGGAAAAGCUGGAUAAGAUCAAAGAAGUUGUCAUGGAGGAGUGA